AGAGUUUGAUCCUGGCUCAGAACGAACGCUGGCGGCAUGCCUAACACAUGCAAGUCGAACGAGACCUUCGGAUCUAGUGGCGCACGGGUGCGUAACGCGUGGGAAUCUGCCCUUGGGUUCGGAAUAACUCAGAGAAAUUUGAGCUAAUACCGGAUGAUGUCGAAAGACCAAAGAUUUAUCGCCCAAGGAUGAGCCCGCGUAGGAUUAGCUAGUUGGUGAGGUAAAAGCUCACCAAGGCGACGAUCCUUAGCUGGUCUGAGAGGAUGAUCAGCCACACUGGGACUGAGACACGGCCCAGACUCCUACGGGAGGCAGCAGUGGGGAAUAUUGGACAAUGGGCGAAAGCCUGAUCCAGCAAUGCCGCGUGAGUGAUGAAGGCCUUAGGGUUGUAAAGCUCUUUUACCAGGGAUGAUAAUGACAGUACCUGGAGAAUAAGCUCCGGCUAACUCCGUGCCAGCAGCCGCGGUAAUACGGAGGGAGCUAGCGUUGUUCGGAAUUACUGGGCGUAAAGCGCGCGUAGGCGGUUUUUCAAGUCAGAGGUGAAAGCCCGGAGC
rnacentral:rRNA from 1 species